AUGGUGAAUAUUCAACUUCUGUUAGCUUUUUUCUUUUCUCAUUGCCUCCCGGCAUGUCAGAGAAUGUCCCCCUGGCAGCGGCCCCGGGGGAGAUGUGUGCCUGGCUUUUGCCCUAAGCAACCAGGCGGACGUAUCCCUCCAUCAAAUCUCCUUAGUUUGUGCUCGUCCAAAUGCGAGCUAUCCGAGAUGAAAAAAUGUGGCUCCUCCUUGAGUUGCCCCGACCAUCAGGUGAAGCCAAAGCAAGCUGUGGGAUGUGUCCAUCCCAACAGCUGGCGUUUGGUAACAGGCUCACAUCUGAAAUGGCAGGAAAGGUCUGUCACGCCUGGACCAGAAGCCAAAACUUCAGCAUUUCAUUCUUUCUCAGCCACCAAAAAUGACAGCAAAACCUCUGGUUUUCUCCUUGGUCAGCAGGGCACAGAGAAAGAAGGAACCCCUGUGCUGGUUGAAACUGUUGCCUGUGCUCUGGGUUGAGGAUUUUAAACUUUUUUAUUUUAAAGGUAGGGACUUGCAUGAAUAUGCUCCAAGAUAUUUCACUCAUGGAACUGGAGAGGGGUGUGAUUCAGCCUGAAACUGGAUUUAUGCUGCACUCUUAUUUUAGUUCCUACUGCCUAGGAGAAUAGUUACUACUCAAAUCACAAACUCUGUCUGUGACCUGCGCUAAGUUUUCAAAUUAAUUUGGUUUUGGUUUUGAUAGCUUCAACAGAAUUGUUGAAUAACAUUUCCUUCAGCAGGAGUUUUCCAAACAAAUUUACUUCAUUUCUGCUUGUGAGAAGUGGAAAGAAUGUAUUUUCCUUGUGCCUGCUUGGAACUACAUGUGCCUCUGAGGUCCAGAAGGUGACAAAUCUUUCACAAGUGAUUCUUCCAAUAAGCAUAGAGAGGAGAAACUAAUUGUUGUGUGCUGUAGCUACCAGAAGAUUAAAAAUAUUCUGUACUGAAAUAAGUUAACUGUUGCUCAGCAUUUGGACUUGUGGAGCACAGAGCUGACUAGGUUGAGCUUAGGGAGAGAAUUGGAAAACAAACUUCUCAGCUGGAAAAGGAGCCCCCUGAAUUUAAUGCUGUUGGACCAAAUGAGCAGGAACAAACCUGGAAGACCUUGGCUGAAUGCUAAAUGUGAGUAUUGACCCCAAACAGCACUUUUUCCAUGUGUCAAAAAUACACUCUUUAAUGGAUUAAAUUAUUUUAUUAGUCUUCCAUUUGGAAGGCUAAAACCUGCUGUGCAAAGCUCAAGAAAUAAAUAAAAUCUGGUGAUGAAAGACUGAACUCUG
rnacentral:lncRNA from 1 species